rnacentral:rRNA from 1 species
AGUGAACGCUGGCGGUAGGCCUAACACAUGCAAGUCGAACGGCAGCACAGUAAGAGCUUGCUCUUACGGGUGGCGAGUGGCGGACGGGUGAGUAAUACAUCGGAAUCUACUUUUUCGUGGGGGAUAACGUAGGGAAACUUACGCUAAUACCGCAUACGACCUACGGGUGAAAGCAGGGGAUCUUCGGACCUUGCGCGAUUGAAUUAGCCGAUGUCGGAUUAGCUAGUUGGCGGGGUAAAGGCCCACCAAGGCGACGAUCCGUAGCUGGUCUGAGAGGAUGAUCAGCCACACUGGAACUGAGACACGGUCCAGACUCCUACGGGAGGCAGCAGUGGGGAAUAUUGGACAAUGGGCGCAAGCCUGAUGCAGCCAUACCGCGUGGGUGAAGAAGGCCUUCGGGUUGUAAAGCCCUUUUGUUGGGAAAGAAAAGCAGCAGGUUAAUACCCAGAUGUUCUGACGGUACCCAAAGAAUAAGCACCGGCUAACUUCGUG